CAGCCGCCGCGGUAAUACAGAGGGUGCGAGCGUUAAUCGGAUUUACUGGGCGUAAAGCGUGCGUAGGCGGCUAAUUGAGUCGGAUGUGAAAUCCCCGAGCUUAACUUGGGAAUUGCAUUCGAUACUGGUUAGCUAGAGUGUGGGAGAGGAUGGUAGAAUUCCAGGUGUAGCGGUGAAAUGCGUAGAGAUCUGGAGGAAUACCGAUGGCGAAGGCAGCCAUCUGGCCUAACACUGACGCUGAGGUACGAAAGCAUGGGGAGCAAACAGGAUUAGAUACCCCGGUAGUACCUGUCUCUUAUAC
rnacentral:rRNA from 1 species